AACAAGGUUUCCGUAGGNGAACCUGCGGAAGGAUCAUUG
rnacentral:rRNA from 1 species